UGAAAUGAAAGCUGCAUGAGCCAGUAGU
rnacentral:sRNA from 1 species